rnacentral:rRNA from 1 species
UACAGAGGGUGCGAGCGUUGUCCGGAAUCACUGGGCGUAAAGGGCGCGUAGGCGGUCUCUUAAGCGUGUGGUGAAAGCCCGGGGCUCAACUCCGGGUCGGCCGUGCGAACUGGGGGACUGGAGCUUGUCAGAGGCAGGCGGAAUUCCGGGUGUAGCGGUGGAAUGCGUAGAGAUCCGGAAGAACACCCGUGGCGAAGGCGGCUCUCUGGGACGGUACUGACGCUGAGACGCGAAAGCGUGGGGAGCGAACAGG